GAUAAGGGGGAAUGGUUUUAAACUAAGACAGGGGAGGUUUAGGUUAGAUAUUAAGAGGAAGAUUUUCACUCAGAAGGUGAUGACGCACUGGAACAGAUUGCCCAAGGAGGUUGUGGAUGUCCCAUCGCUGGAGGCAUUCAAGGCCAGGCUGGAUGUGGCUCUGGGCAGCCUGGUCUGGUGGUUGGCGACCCUGCCUACAGCAGGAGGGUUGGAACUAGAUGAUCACUGUGGUCCAACGGUCCAACCCAGGCCAUUCUAUGAUAUUGGAAAUGCAAAAUUUCAGAGUUGUAUGUGCCUUUUAUGCUGGGAUGUACAUCAUCACCCUCGAAAAAUAAAGCUUAAUAGUAGUACUUUUUAAGCCAAGUAAAAAGAGGUUUUUUUAAAAAAAUCCAUAGGGGUCUAUUGCAGGCAGGCAGGGAAUUCUGUUGAAAAGGGCUAAUAGCUUCUUCAGAUCUCUUACAGUUCAGCUGGGACAGCAGCCAGGUUGGCAUGGUCUAACCAAUUGGGUGUUAUCUAUCCCUGCUGACAACUGAUAUGAGGAUGUCAGCAGUGCUAUGUAGCAGUACCUGGCUUGCAUAAUUGAAAUGCUAGUUUCAGAUCUACUUAAGGUAUCCACAUGCUUAGUUAGAGUUUAGUAGAUGAACUGUCACCUUGUCAUGGUUUUGUAAUUUUGCUAUUGGUAUUCCACAUCAUGACAUCAUGUGGAGUGCAGAGAAGAAGAACUACAUAUCCCAGAGGACCUCCUGGUCAGAGAGGAAGAUACGUCACGGAAGUCACGGGGCCUUGUGCUCUCCCUCUUGCUGUCUGGCAGAAGGUGUGGGUGUGCUUCCAAGCUGUGUGCCUUCAGGAAGAGUAAAUCUGGGGAGGAGGAAAAGAGAGGAAGGACAGAUCUCCAUACUUUGAUACAUUUUGGUAAAUUUAAUUUUUUUUAACGAAAUAUUUCUGUUUAGUUGGCAUUUUGAUAAUCUGGUCUGUGUCAUACAACAGUGUCUAGUUUCUACUUUACUUUCAUUUUUCUCGCAGUACAAACACCAGCUUUCCAUCUAACUUACCCAAAAGAAUGUAGUUUG
ensembl:lncRNA